GAUGAACGCUAGCGGCAGGCCUAAUACAUGCAAGUCGAGGGAGAAGCCUUUAGGGGCAGAAACCGGCGCAUGGGUGCGUAACGCGUAUGCAACCUACCUUUCACAGGGGGAUAGCCUGAAGAAAUUUGGAUUAAUACCCCAUAAUAUUGUUGGAUGGUAUCAUCCGCUAAUUUAAACUGCGGUGGAGAAAGAUGGGCAUGCGUCCUAUUAGCUAGUUGGUGUGGGAACGGCAUCCCAAGGCAACGAAAGGGAGGGGCCAGGAGAGGGAGAUCCCCCAGAAUGGAACGAAGGCAGGGACCACACUCGGACGGGACGCAGGAGUAAGGAAUAUUGAGCAAGGGUCGGUAGACUGAACCAGCCAUGCCGCGUGCAGAAAGAAUGCCUUAUGAAUUGUAAGCUGCUAUUAUAUGGGAAAAAUAAGGUGUACGUGUACAUUGAUGACGGUACCAAAUGAAUAAGCAUCGGCUAACUCCGUG
rnacentral:rRNA from 1 species